rnacentral:rRNA from 1 species
GUCGAGCGCAGGAAGCAAGCUGAUCCCCUUCGGGGGUGACGCUUGUGGAAUGAGCGGCGGACGGGUGAGUAACACGUGGGCAACCUGCCUGUAAGACUGGGAUAACCCCGGGAAACCGGGGCUAAUACCGGAUAAUACUUUCUUUUGCAUAAAGGAAAGUUGAAAGGCGGCUUCGGCUGUCACUUACAGAUGGGCCCGCGGCGCAUUAGCUAGUUGGUGAGGUAACGGCUCACCAAGGCGACGAUGCGUAGCCGACCUGAGAGGGUGAUCGGCCACACUGGGACUGAGACACGGCCCAGACUCCUACGGGAGGCAGCAGUAGGGAAUCUUCCGCAAUGGACGAAAGUCUGACGGAGCAACGCCGCGUGAGUGAUGAAGGUUUUCGGAUCGUAAAACUCUGUUGUUAGGGAAGAACAAGUUGGAUAGUAACUGACCCAACCUUGACGGUACCUAACCAGAAAGCCACGGCUAACUACGUGCCAGCAGCCGCGGUAAUACGUAGGUGGCAAGCGUUGUCCGGAAUUAUUGGGCGUAAAGCGCUCGCAGGCGGUCCUUUAAGUCUGAUGUGAAAUCUCGCGGCUCAACCGCGAACGGUCAUUGGAAACUGGAGGACUUGAGUACAGAAGAGGAGAGUGGAAUUCCACGUGUAGCGGUGAAAUGCGUAGAGAUGUGGAGGAACACCAGUGGCGAAGGCGACUCUCUGGUCUGUAACUGACGCUGAGGAGCGAAAGCGUGGGGAGCGAACAGGAUUAGAUACCCUGGUAGUCCACGCCGUAAACGAUGAGUGCUAGGUGUUAGGGGGUUUCCGCCCCUUAGUGCUGAAGUUAACGCAUUAAGCACUCCGCCUGGGGAGUACGGCCGCAAGGCUGAAACUCAAAAGAAUUGACGGGGGCCCGCACAAGCGGUGGAGCAUGUGGUUUAAUUCGAAGCAACGCGAAGAACCUUACCAGGUCUUGACAUCCUCUG